GACGAACCGUGCGAACGUUGUUCGGAUUCACUGGGCUUAAAGGGCGCGUAGGCGGGCGGUCAAGUCAGGGGUGAAAUCUUUCGGCUCAACCGGAAAAGUGCCUUUGAUACUGGCCGUCUCGAGGGAGGUAGGGGCAUGCGGAACUUCCGGUGGAGCGGUGAAAUGCGUAGAUAUCGGAAGGAACACCAGUGGCGAAGGCGGCUCGCUGGACCGGUCCUGACGUUCAGGCGCGAAAGCGUGGGGAGCAAACAGG
rnacentral:rRNA from 1 species